UACGGGGGGGGCGAGCGUUGUUCGGAAUCACUGGGCGUAAAGGGCGCGUAGGCGGCCCGCACAAGUCUGCGGUGAAAACCCCCGGCUUAACCGGGGGCCGGCCGUGGAAACUGUCGGGCUGGAGGCUGGGAGAGGGCAGCGGAAUUCCCGGUGUAGCGGUGAAAUGCGUAGAGAUCCGGAGGAACACCAGAGGCGAAAGCGGCAUCCUGGCUCAUAGUUGACGCUCAGACACGAGAGCCUGGGGAGCGAACGGG
rnacentral:rRNA from 1 species